rnacentral:rRNA from 1 species
UACGGAAGGGGCGAGCGUUGUUCGGAAUCAUUGGGCGUAAAGGGCGCGUAGGUGGUUCUGUAUGUCUGCCGUGAAAGGGUACAGCUCAACUGUAGCUUGUCGGCAGAAACUGCAGGACUUGAGGCUGGGAGGGGCUGGUGGAAUUCCCUGUGUAGCGGUGAAAUGCGUAGAGAUGGGGGAGAACACUCGUGGCGAAGGCGGCCAGCUAGACCAGUUCUGACACUGAGGCGCGACAGCGUGGGGGAGCAAACAGG